CGAUAAUCCAUGACAAAGAGAGUAGUUAUCUAUGAGGUCGAAGCGAUUCAGGGGUGGUGGGAGCCUGAAACCAAAAGAAGAUAAUGAAGCGCACUUUCGAGAUGCCUGUCCGAAGUAACAGUAGGAUAUGCCGGAGAAUUCUCCGUUACAAAGCGUAAGCUGGUUCUUUACGAACAAUUAGAGUGGUACCGCGGGAUAACUCUCGUCUCUUUU
rnacentral:ncRNA from 1 species